CGGCCGCCGCCUCAGCGAUUGCGCGCGCCAGCUCGGCGUGCCGUUCGCGUUCCGAGGGAUCGCGGCGAAGCGAGAGGACGUGUCUCCCGAGGACCUGCACAUCGAUCCAGCUGCCGAGGUGCUCGUCGUGAUCAGCCUCUGUCAUUUCAGGCUGCUGGCGGACGAGAUCGACAUCAUCAGCGGCGCCGCCGUCGCCGGGCCUGGGCGCCGCCGUCGUCCCAGCCCCAGGGACGAGGUGCUCGGCAACAUCCGUCGGAUGCGGCCCGACGUGUUCAUCCACGGCGUCGUCAGCGGCGGCUACGGCACCACCUACUUCCCGACGCGGUUCAGGGAGGCGAUGUUUUACUACUCGGCGCAGUUCGACCUGCUGGACGCCACCGUGCCACGAGACAGCCCGGAGAGGCUGCUGCUGGAGAGGGACAUCUUCGGCCGCGCCGCCAUGAACGUCGUCGCGUGCGAGGGCACGGAUCGCGUGGAGCGCCCCGAGACGUACCGGCAGUGGCAGGUGCGGAACCAGCGCGCGGGGCUCAGGCAGCUGCCGCUGGAGCCUCACGUCGUCAAGGUGGUGAUGGACAAGGUGAAGGACAACUACCAUAGGGACUUCGUCGUCGACGAGGAUCAGCGAUGGCUGCUGCACAGGUGGAAAGGCCGUGUUCUCUAUGGCCUCUCCACAUGGGUUGCAUGCUGAACGCUCAUCGAUGAACGAACGAUGAUGCAUGCUACCUCAACGUACAACAUUUAGGGAAUGUUUGGUUGAGAUUGUUAAAGUUCAACGUAUUGUAGCAUUUUCGUUUUAUUUUAGCAAUUAGUGUUCGAUCAUGAACUAAUUAGGCUCAAAAGAUUCAUCUCGCACAUUAGUUUCUAGCUGUAUUUUUAGUUUUGCAAAUAGUCUAUAUUUAGUACUUCAUGCAUGUGUCCAAACAUUUGAUGUGAUGACCAGUAAACUUUACUGCACUCAACCAAACAGGCCCUUAAUUAAGUUAGCUUCUCUUCCUUCUCAGCCUAGCUAGUUACUCCUAUUUUAUGUCCGACAUAACAGGUUUGGGAAAUGGUUACACAAAGUUCAUUAUGCGAUGGGCCCGCGUGACCCACAUGCCCACGCCCAUGCCUAACGAAGAGGAAGAGGAAGAAGACUGCGCCCGCGUCGAAGAGGAAGGAGGAGGCUAGGGUUCUAGCAGAUGCCUUGCUGGCGUCGGAGAUGACAAGGUCGUUGGUGUCCUCACAGUCGUGCCCUCUUUCUCCGGUCUCUCCCCUUCUUCUUCCCAACUCCGUCAGGCAUAGAAGAGGCUAGCCGGGGGGGAGGCAGGCUGGCCAGGCCAUGGGGAAGGGUUCGAGCAGUUAGGGGCCCUUGCGGGGGUAGAGGUGCCCAAGCCAGGGAGGGCCAAGCCGCCAUGGCCACGAAGCUCGCCGCGGUGGGAUGGGGAGGGGAAGAAGGUGCGGCCGAGGCCGCACUAGGAUUUGCCCUAAGCUCCGCGGCCAGGCGGGGGGGGGGGGGUGGGGGGGGGUCCUACAGCGGGGUUGAGGACAACGAGAUGGGGAGGUCGAGGAUGGCGCUAAGGGAGAGGGUGGAUAAGGAGGUGCAGCGAGGGUGAGGACAACAAGGAGGGGGGAGGGGGCUAGGACGACGCUGAGGGAGAGGCGGCGAAGGAGGGGCACGGGGAGGGAGAAACGAGUAGUGGAAGAGGCGGGCACGAGAUAGACGAUGGGGUCACGCGCGGCUCACGUUACUGUAGAAAUCUCAAUCGUGACGAGCAAAAAACAUUAACCGUGGUGGUUUUUGCAUCCGCUACGGUCGAAAGGUCAUGGUUAAUUGUGGCCUUAACCAAGGCGGUUGCCUUCCGUGCCUCGCUAAAUCAAAUUAAAAAAACAAAAGAAAAAGGAAACCCCAUAGAACACAUCGAGCCUGGGCAUAGGUCUAGGCUAUGCGUCGUCGCCACCAUAGGGGAGCUCAAUCUGUCGCUGGGAUCUAGACGCGCCAGAUCCACAUGAGCAGAGAAAGGAAGGGAGGGAGCCUGCUGUCGAGAUCUAGAUACGCCAGAUCCACACUUGCAAAGGAAGGGAGGAAGCCCACUAGAUCCGCCCGAGGUUGGCGGUGCCAAGGUCGCUAGCUCUGUCGGGUUGCCAGAUCCACCGAGGAAGAGAGAGGGUGGAGGGAGGCCGCCGGAUCUGCACGAGGGAGAAGCUGCUGUUGCUGGAUCUGCUGUGGGAGUUGAUGAUGAUGAGCAUGGCCGUCGCCAUGGAGGUGGUGGUGCCGGAUUUGCUGUGGGCGAAGGUGCAGGAGCUGCUGCUGCAUGGAUCCAUGUGCCCUCGACCCACGCGAGCCCUCCUUGCACGAUGCUUGUGCCACCGCGGCCGCAUGAGGGAUAGGGAGAGGGAUGGAAUGACGCCCUGGCCAUGGCCACUCGAUUGUGCUCAGGAUGAGGGAGAGCGAGCGGGAUGGAGCGAUGCCCGAGAGGGAGAGGGAGAGAGCGGGAGGAAUGGAGCAAUGCGAGACGGAGAGAGAGAGAGAGGGUUGGAGGGUGCGGUGCCUGAGAAAGAUGGAGAGUUAGGGUUUUAGUUAUGCUCAGCGUAUAUGUAUUGUGAAGCUGUUACCGGUCCUAGAUGGGCUGGUAGGCUGGCCACGAUUACCUAAGGUAGGUUAUAGUUGCUCGCCUCUGAAAAAGCAUUUUUAGAGACGAUUGCCUUAAAAUGACCGCUUUUUGUUAAUUAAUAUUAACCUAGGCGGUCGUUUUAAGACGAUCAUUGGUUUCGUUAGGCAAUCGCCUCGGUCCUCAGUUAAUGAGUAUUAACCGAGGCGGUUUUAUAUGAUGCCCGUCUCUGUUGCUGGCCUGUCUAUCCUGCCUCGAAUAACUGAGGUGGGCAACCAGGCUGCCAGCCUCCAUUGCUAAAUUGGAAACGCUGCGCAAAAGAUUUUGUGAUUCAUCGUGCGAUAACUUCGUCCAAAUGGUUAAGCCUAGAGUGAAAUUCUCCAGCUUACCAGCCAGCUAAAAGUAUGUAGAGACGCAGCAGGAGUGUCUUGGCAUGUAAAAUUAAUAAAUCAGUAAAGUGAUGUAUGUCUUGACAUGUAAAAUUAAUAAAUCAGUAAAGUGAUGUAUCGACCAUGUUUUCGCCUCUUAUGAGUUUCUCAGGUUCAGUUGUUGCUUUUAUGCUUUUAAAUUUUGUGGCAUCAAUUGUUUGGCACGCGCAUUGUAUUUCUGGAUAGAUUAAACUUAUGCGUGAUUAAGAUGAAAUAAACGAUUUCUCCAGCUUGUCCGGAGUGAAAGACUUAAGGACACUCACAAUAGACACUCACAAUACAGACUCUAUUAUAGAGUAAGUUAUUUAUUACCUCAAACAAUGUGGACUUAGAGUCUAAAUAAAACUUGGAGUCUUAUUUUUCUACCUCUUUCUUUAAUAAAUAUGCUGCCACAUCAGCAAAAUACCAUAAAUAAUAUGUAAUUAAUUGUCUUAGACUCUGUAAUAGAGUCUUGAUUGAAAGUACCCUAAAAAGGACACAUUCAUCCUUCCAAUUCUGUUUUUAACUGUACUUUUUUUAUAUGCCCCCACCCAAAAAAACUGUACUAUUUUAUAUAUGCGACCUUUUGUAUCAAAAUUUCUCAUUAGUUAAGCUUCACCUGUAUAGAAUACCUCCAAAUUUACACGAUGUAAUUUUGAAUUGGUCAAACUCUUUGUAAUAGUUGUUCUUGCUAGUUGGCCUCGGCCAAUCCCCCCUCACCUCUGCCUAGGUAGGUUCCAUAGGUGAGUCUUUCUUUCCUCUUCUUUUUCCUUCUUUCCCUUUUGGUUAGCGCCUAGCUAACACCCCUGUACUUGGCUCUUGUGUUUUUACUUUAUAUAUCUCCAACCUGGGGAGCAUUGCUCCAUAGUUUCUUUCAAAAAAAAAUUCUCAUUGGCUUUACUUUGAUAGACGGAAGGCGAGCAAAAAGGUGGAAGUGCCCUUUGGAAUGCAGAGAUUUCACACGAAUCAGUUUAUUUUUAUAUGAAAAAUUCAGGAAUCAAGAAAACUUCCCGGUUCCUCUUUUUCAUUUGAAGCGUGUUUUGUUUGACAAUAAGGAUAGAUCUAAUAAUGGCCAUUCAUAGAUUUUAGGAUAUGAAUAUUAAUGCUUCCUAUUUGGUUGGAUGAUGGAUGAGGCGAGCUAUUUUUCUGUUUGGUUAGAUGGAUAAGAGUGAAUAGGACGAGAAUACUUGACUAAUUGUAUUUAUAUUAUUUUAAAAAAUAAAAAUAAUGAUACGCUAGUAAAUAGGAGUAUGCACUAACACUAAUUUUGUCAUGAUAAGUACUAAUUACAAAUAACACGUUAAUUAGCACCACUAGUAUCCUAAUUGGCAUACAAAACACACCAGCAUUUAAGCACAUAUUAAAAUAUAUCAAUCUUGUCAUCAUAAUUACUAGGCAAUAAUAUAACAUUACUAAUAAACCUUAAUUAUUUGCUCGUGACAAAGAUUAGAAAAUAUGAAUGAGUUCGCCAAGUAAUUUUUUGAUGACAGGAAUAUCCAAUGUCGCAGCGGGUGGAAGGUGAGCGACGGCGAGGCAGCUGAUGGGGGUGGCGUGGGAGGAAGAUAGAGGUGGGACAGGCAGGACGCGAGCAAGGAGGAAGAGAAGAGAAGGGCCUUAUCUACCUUCUAAUAAAAGAUCAUCUUGCUCAUGUUUGAACAUGUGUAAUAAAAAAUCAGCUUGUGAAGUUAUCUCCAUGUCUGCAUCACGCUUACGCGAUCAUCCAUUCAUCAUCAUACGCAAUUCCAGAAACAAUACCUUUUUUUUUUUUGACAGCACCAGAAACAAUACCUUGCAUGUUGCGAAAAAGAUCAAGGGGACAGACAAAUUAAAGGUAACAAGAAAAUGAUACCUUGUGAAGAUGCUGUUGCUGCAUUACGAAACGAACAACGAAGUUUGGUUCAGAAACCAACAGAAAUGAAACAAGAAGAUUAGUAGCCUAGCUACAUAACCGCAACAAGACACCAUAAUUAUAUUUGGCUACUGAAUGCAUUGCCGGCCCAGCUCUUGUUUAUCUACUCUUCCCAUUCAAUUGACUGAUGAAGAAAACUAACUUUUCUUUUUUGGCUUCCACUUGUUGCUGAUGAAACUGCGAUGCUUGGAUGCCAUUCCAUUGGCUUUGAGUUGAGGCCUUGUUUAGUUCCAAAAUUUUUUGCAAAAUGUAAAUAGUACUAAUUUCGUUUGUAUUUGACAAAUAUUGUCCAAUCAUAGACUAACUAGGCUCAAAAGAUUCGUAUCGUCAAUUCCGACCAAACUGUGUAAUUAGUUUUUAUUUUCGUCUAUAUUUAAUAUUUCAUGCAUACGUCUAAAGAUUCGAUGUGAUGGAAAAUCUGAAAAAUUUUGCAAAAUUGUUGGGAAGUAAACAAGGCCUGAGUUGGAAUCAUCGAUUCGAGCUCCACGAGGAGGUGAUGAGGUCAAUCGCUUCUGCUUCUGCUUCUUUUUAAAGAAGAAUCCACGAGCAAUACCGCCCACCAUUGUAGUAGCUUGUAGGCAGGCAGCGCAUGGCAGCACCCCGUGUCGUCCGAGGCUUCACGCCGGCACCCCGCGUCGACGUCGAUGCGGCCUCCUCCUCCUACCUCUCCCGCAUUUCUCUUCUCAUGGAGGAGGAAGACGAGGAGGACGACCUCGCCGAUCACCCCGCGUUCCUCCACGCCCAGUAGCCCUUCACCCAGAUCCUCUCCGGCGCCCCCUUGCCGGACCAAGCCCCCGUCUUUCCAGGCGGCACGCCGCCCGAGGACAAGGAGUACAGAACGGACAUGUUCACCGCUGCAUUCUUCAAGGCCGUGGAGGAGGCUAGUAAGUUCCUGCCGGCCUACACAGGCACACAGCUGCCACACUGUUGGCCAGGGACACAAGCAGCGGCGGCGGCAAGGACCGCAGGGACAGGCACACCGUUGGCGGCGACGACGAGCUGGAGGCCGAUGCCGGCAGGACCAGCAAGAUGGCGAUGUCCGAGUCAGAGGAAGCCGGCGCCCGCGAGGUGUUCGACGAAAUGAUGCUUAGGGGAUUCGAUGUCUGUUCCAAGGAGAUGGAGGGCCUGGCCAUUUCCGUUGAGAAUGUGCCUGCCAAGGACGAUGACAAGAAGAAGGCGAGAAAGAGGAGCAGGGCAUGGGGCAAGCGCCGGCCAGCCAAGGUGAUUGAGCUGCACACCUUGCUCAUCCACCGUGCCAAGGCGGUCAUCGACGACCGCCAGAGCGUGGAUGAGCUGCUCAGUCAGAUGAAGGAGCAUGCCUCGCCUACUGGGGACGCCACGCAGCGGCUUGUCUACUGGUUCGUGCAGGGGCUGGAGGCACGACUGGCUGGCACCGAGAGCCAGGUGUACAGGUCACUCACCGCGAACCGGACCUCGCUCGUGGAGUUCCUCAAGGCCUAUCAGUUCUUCAUGUAAACCUGCUGCUUCAGGAAGGCGGCCUUCAUGUUUGCCAACAAGACCAUCUUGGAUGCUGCAAUUGGCAGGAGCAAGCUGCACAUCGUGGAUUAUGGCCUCCGUUCUGGCUUCCAGUGGACGGAGCUGCUGCGCUUGCUGGGGACUAGGGACGGUGGGCCACCACAGGUCAGGAUCACCAGCAUUGACCUCCCACAGCCUGGAUUCCACCCAGCAAACCACAUGGCAGAGAUGGGUCAUCGCCUUACCAGCUGUGCCCAUGAACUGCCACUGAGUUUCUGUUAUGUGGUGGCGCCAUGGCACACCGUUUGCAUCGACGAUUUGAAUGUGGAACCUGACGAGGUCCUCGUCGUCAACGAUCUGUUCAACUUCAGGACCUUGAUGGAUGAGAGCGUCAUAUCAGACAACCCCAGCCCUAGGGAUGUUGUCCUCAGCAACAUUAGAAAGAUGGAGCCUGAUGUCUUCAUCCAAGCCGUCGUCAAUGGUUCUUACGGCACCACCUUCUUGUCAUGGUUUCGGGAAGCCCUCUUUACCACUCUUUGUUGUUUGACAUGCUUGAUGCGACCAUGCCCCGGGAGAGCCAACUGCGCUUGGUGCUUGAGCGGGAUAUCUUUGGCUGGGUUGCCUUGAAUGCCAUAGCAUGUGAGGGAGUGGACCGUGUGGAACGUGGUGAGACAUAAGCUGUGGCAGGUCAGAAACCAGCGGGCUGACCUAAGGCAACUGCCCUUGAAUGGAGAGACUGUUAAGAUGGUGAGGGACAUGGUCAAGAACCAAUAGCACAAGGAUUUUGUCAUUGAGGAGGGUCAACAAUGGUUGUUGCAGGGGUGGAAGGGCCACAUCCUGUUAGCCCACUCAAUGUGGGCGGCAGAUGGUGCUACCUCUAAUUGUUGUCCUAAGUGCAAUGAAGGAAUCAGCCUGAGUAAGGUGUAAUCCCUCCAUCCCAUUGAAAGUGUCGUUUUUUUGUUACUUUUAGACUUUUUGUUUGACCGUUCGUCUUAUUCAAACGUUUAUGCAAAUAAUAAAAUAAAUAGAUCAUUAUUAAAGUAUCUCUAAUGAUAAAAUAAGUCAUAAGAAAUAAAUAAUAUAUACAAAAUUUUUGAAAAAGACGAACGGUCAAACAGGAAGCCAUUCAACAGUAUUUCUCUCUCACGACAAAUCAGCGAACAGUACUUUCAACCACUGUUCGCUUGGCUGAAAAGCCAUUACUGUUCGCUGAUUUGUCGUGAGAGAAAAACACUGCUGAAUGGCUGACAGAUUCGGCAGAUAAGAUCAAGCGAAUAAGCUUGCAAAGUAAACCACACCACUGAAAAUGCAAUCUUAUGGUUGAGAACCAGAGCCAUAACUUUUUGUCCAAUAGUAUAAUGUUUUUCUUUUGCAAAUCAAGUUACUUUAUUACAUUCUUUCGCAGAAAUAGUUCUUAUAGGAUAUUUAUUUAUCUUAUACAUCCGUCUCAUAUUUGGUCCACCUAAACACUUCAUGUUAGUCUAUAAAAUAUAUGUAAAUACGUUUUGCAUUACACAACUGUGACUGCUUGCUUUUCUAUUUUUAUUAAAAGGUAAAAGAAAUAAAAUGCUAUAUAUGUUUGCUCCUUGCAAUACCGGGAUAACAUCUUGACUGUCCAAAUAUCAUUGGAAUUGUGGCUAGUUACUGUCUUGAUUGUCCAAGUGGCAUUGGAAUCAUCAAAUUUGUCCUCCUGACCAUAGUUUCUUAGCAUUAUCUGGCACUACCAUACACAUUGACAAGGUCUGCUCUCCAAUGUGUACCAGAAGCUACCAUGCCACACCUCCACUGAUCACCAUGGCCAUCACCCCAGAGGAAUUCUUUGCUGUGGAUCUCAUGGAGAUGGAGCCUUCACCACCUUCCCCAUCUAUCAACCUUCCCCUGAUGCCUGAUGGUGGCGGUCAAGGCCCACUCUCCGAUGAUGAUCUGGUGCUCACCUACAUCUCAGGCUUGCUCAUGGAGGAAGACAUCGAUGACAAGCUGUUGGGCCAGUACUCUGAUCACCCUGCACUACUCCAGGCACAACAGUCCUAUGCUCAAUUGCUCUCCUCCCCUUCCUUCAAUGCAAACAGUGAUAAUACUUUCAACAGCGGCAACAUGGAGGGGGCUAAGAAUUCAUUGCAGGGCUGCAGUGGUGAUCAAUACACACUCAGCUCAUCUUUCUCAAAAGGUGUGGAUGAGGAGGGGCAGUUCUCAAAGGGAUUGGAAGAGGCUCAUAGGUUCUUGUCUGGAGACAAUAGCUUUGGAAAGGGUGAGCAGGUGAUUGAAAUCUUCAAGGAAACUAACAACCCUAUAGGGCUCAAAAAGAGGUAUAACCGAGAUGAGCAUAUGAAAGAGGAGGCAGGCAGGACCUGGAAAUCUAUGAUAAUAAGGGAGGAGGAGAUUGGCAUCCAUGAGAUGUUUGAUGAAUGAUGCUGCACGAUGAUGAGCUAUGCAUCAGGGACGAGGAGAAGCUGCGCAUCUCCAUGACCAAUGAGAAAAAAAACAAAACUAAGGGCAGGAACAAGGCUGCAACAGAUGUAGUGGACCUACGUACAUUGUUGUUCCAUUGUGCGUAGGCGGUAGCUAUGAACGAUCAUACGGUCGCAGUUGGACUGCUCAAGCAGAUUAAGCAGCAUGCUUCAGCAACAGGGGAUGCCGCACAGAGGCUAGCUCACUGUUUUGCCAAGGGGCUGGAAGCACGGCUAGCAGGCACGGGAAUGCAGCUCUGGAAGUCGCUCAUGGCAGAGCACCCCAUAGUCAUGGAUUUCCUCAAGGCCUACAGCCUUUUUAUGGCAGCCUGCUGCUUUCAUAAGAUAGCACUCAAAUUUUCAAUUAUGACCAUUGAGGAUGCCAUGGUGGGUAAGAGCAGCCUGCAUAUUGUGGAUUACGGUUUGCAUUAUGGGUUCUUCUAGUGGGCAGGCUUAAUCCGCUCGUUGGCAAAUAGGAAUGUUGGCCCUCCACAAGUGACGAUAACGGCAAUCAGUCACUUCCAGCCCAGGAUCUACCCAGCUCAGCAGAUUGAGGAGCAAGGGUGCCGGCUCAGCAAGUGUGCAAAAGAGUUUGGCUUGCCAUUCAAGUUCCAUGUCAUUACAAAAAAAUGGGAGGAUGUUUUCAUUGAGGACUUGAACAAAGACACCGAUGAGGUGCUUAUUGUGAAUGACCUUUUAAAUUUCAGCUCCUUGAUGGAUGUGAGUGUAUUUUUUGAUGCCUCAAAUCCCAGAGACACUGUCCUUAGCAAUAUCAGGAGAAUGAGGCCAUGUAUCUUCAUCCAGAGCAUUGUGAAUCGUUCAUCUGGUACUUCCUUCUUGUCAAGGUUCCGCGAGUUGCUAUUCAAUUACAUGGCAUUGUUUGACAUGUCAGAUGCAACUAUGCCACGGAACAGUGAAUUUCACGGUUGGUGCUGGAGCAAGGCUUGCUUAGGCGUUGUGCACUGAAUGAUAUUGCAUGUGAAGGUGUAGACCUUGUGAACCGCCCUGAGAAGUAUAUGCAAUGGCAGGUGAGAAACCAGCGUGCAGGCCUGAGACAACUGUUAUUGAAACCAAGCAUUAUUAAGGCACUGAAGGAUGAGGUCAAGAAGGAAUACCACAAGGACUUUUUUCUUACUGAGGAUAGUCAGUGGCUUCUCCAAGGGUGGAAGGGGCGUGUACUCUUUGCGCACUCAACAUGAAGCUUCAGUUUUUUGCCACUGAAUGGUACCAUAGUCUUCAACUCUUCAUCAGCUCUCUUUAUACUGCUUGUCAAGGUCAGGUCCAGUGCAGCAGUUGCUGAAAAGCAUUUUGUACUCUUACAAAGAUAGAUCUGGGUAUCGAGGACUUUAGGGAGAAAAUUGUCAGUGACCCUGACCAAGUAUUUUCGACUCCCUUGUAUUUUAAUUUCCCAAUGGCCAGUUGGUAUCUUUGGUCAUGGGUUUGAUCAAAUCUUGCAACAUAGCUCAGGAGGAAGAUGCACUUCAGUCUGAUCAUGUUACCAGACCAGUGUUUCUGUUCUGUGUUUAUGUGUUCACCUGCAGAUAUUAAUUGUUUGUAAUUCAGUCCCUCUGCGGAGCAUGAAAGAAAUAAAGUUUGUACAGUUUUUCCCUUUUUCCAGAAGUAAUAAAAAAUUCUUACAGUGGGGGCCUCCCCUACUGUAUUUUCAGGUUAAAAAAAAAGGAAAGAAAUAAAAUAAUAAGCAUUGGUAGUACCCAGGAAAAAGGUUGCAGUAUAAUAAUUUUCAGAACUUGUACUCUUUCCCCUGUGACGGCAACAGACAGGAUCAUGAGAUUUGUCGAAAAAUUGGUUUUCUCCAAUGUCUUGUUGCUUUUGAAGGGACAAGGACUGAAGGAUGGCUCCAACACCAAGAUGAAUGGGAUGACAUUUCCUUAUCUCCAUCUUUCUCAAGACCUAUUUUUUGUCUUUAUGUGCGAGCAAUGUACCGGCAUGGCAAACUUUGGUGAUUCCAUCACCCACUUGUCUCAUCUUAGGAUGGAUUGGACGUGGUGAAGGGGAAAUCUGAGGUAGGCAGCACAGAUAUGUUGCAGCUAAUGAGCUAAAGUUGUCUAUAGGUAAGGUGCAUACUGUAUAUUAGUCUAAUUACGUUUUAGCAUCGCACAAGUAGGUAGAAUAAAAUAUUAGUAUCUUUGUUUGUUAUGCAUGAUGCCUAGAUAUCAUCUCCAUAACUCCAUUAUCCAGGAAACAUGGGAUUAUAAUUAACCAUCAUUCAUUAUCCAUCAACAUUAGAACUAUCAAACACUUGGCACUCAUAACAAGGUAUGUUAUCCUGUAGAUUUGGAGCCACGGUACCACCAUCAAUCUCCAUGGCCACCACUCCGGAGGAAUUCUUUAUGGAGGGUCUCAUGAACUUGUCACCACCCUCCCCAUCUGUGUUGCUUGACCUUCCCCAAAUGACCAAUGAUGUCGGUCAGGAUUCACUCUGCCCUGAUGAAAUAGUCCUCUCCUAUGUUUCAUCCGUGCUCAUGGAAGAUCAAUCUGAAGACAAACUCCUGUGCCAAGACACUGAUCAUCCUUCGCUUCUCCAGGUGCAGAAGCCAUUUUCCCAAAUUCUCUCCUCCCCUUCCUUCAGCACAAACAGUGACAACACCGUCAACAGGGACAAUAUUGAGGGAGCCAGGAAUUUGUUCCAGGAUUGCAGUGGUGAUCAAUGCACACUGAGAUCAUCCUUGUCCAUUGGUGCGCUUGCAGCGGGGUCAGUCUUGAAGGGCAUGGAAGAGGCUAGCAGGUUCUUGUCAGAAGAUAAUGUCUUCAGAAAGGAUCAGCAAUUGAACCAAAUGACUAGGGAAAGUGGCAAUUCUAGGGUAUUCAAGAAGAGGUAUAACAGGGAUGAGGAUGGGGAGGUAGGCAGGGCCUAUAAAGUUUUUAUGAUGAUGGAAGAGCUUGAAGAGAUGUUUGAUAAAAUGAUGCUUCGUGGGUACGAGACAUGCAUAGAAGAAAUGAAGAAGCUGCGCAUCACCAAGGCUGAUGAGGCAAAGAACAAGAAGAAGGGUUAUAACAAGCGGAGGAGCAAUGUUGUGGAUCUAUACACAUUGUUGAUAAAUUGUGCGCAGGCGGUGUCUGCUAGCAAUUUCAGGACCGCGCAUGAGCUGCUGAAGCAGAUCAAGCAGCAUGCAUCAGCAACAGGGGAUGCAACACAACGGCUAGCUCAAUGUUUUGCCAAGGGGCUGGAGGCACGGCUAAUGGGUACAGGGAGGCAGCUUUGGCAGUUGCUGACAUUGGAGCAACCACUGGCCAUAGAGUACCUAAAGGCCUACAACCUUUACAUGGCAACCUGCUCCUUCAACAGGGUGGCACUCUUUUUCAACGUUAUGACCAUUGAGCAUGCCAUGGUGGGGAAGAGCAAACUUCACAUUGUAGACUAUGGUCCACAUCACGGGUUCCAGUGGGCCGGCUUGCUUCGCUGGAUGGCGAAUAGGGAAGGUGGCCCACCAGAGGUGAGGAUAACUGCCAUAAGCCGUCUUCAGCCUAGGUCCUGUCCAUCUGAAGGGACUGAUGAUACAGGGCGCCGGUUGGACAAGUGUGCCCGUGAGUUUGGCGUGCCAUUCAAGUUCCAUGCCAUCACUGCAAAAUGGGAGACAAUUUCCAUCGAUGACUUGAAAACAGAGGCUGAUGAGGUGCUUGUUGUGGUUGACCUCUUUAGUUUCAGUAUCUUGAGGGAGGAGAAUAUCUACUUUGAUGGUCUGAGCUCCAGGGAUACCGUCCUCAACAACAUUAGGAAGAUGCGGCCAGAUGUCUUCAUCCAGGGUAUUAUGAAUUGUUCACAUAGCACCUCCUUCUUGACGCGGUUUCGUGAGGCUUUGUUCUCUUACAGUGCACUGUUUGAUAUGCUUGAUGCAACUAUCCCGAGGGACAGUAAACUACGGCCAGUUCUGGAACAGAACAUGCUGGGUCAUUCUGUGCUGAAUCUUGUCGCCUGCGAGGGUGCAGAUGUGGUGAACCGCCCUGAGAAGUAUAGACGGUGGCAGGUGAGAAACCAGCGGGCAGGCCUGAGGCAGCUACCACUGAAACCAAACAUAGUUAAGGUACUCAAGGAUAAAGUGAUGAAGGACCAUCACAAGGACUUUUUCAUCAGUGAGGAUGGCCAAUGGUUGCUGCAAGGUUGGAUGGGGCGCAUCUUCUAUGCCCACUCUACAUGGGUUGCGGAAGACACCAUUUCUGAGUGAAGCUUUAGUUUUCUGCUACUGAAUGGUACCUUUGUCGGCUCCCUUUGCGGCUUUGCCCAUGUGUACUAUUUGGUUGACUGUCUACUUAUUCAGGGACACUCAUGUGUCUGCUGAAAAUAUCCUAGAAGAGCACAAUGCAUCUUCCUCCCUUAGGCAGUGCAUCUUGUUCUGUAAAUUACAUGUUAGAGUGUUCAGUUUUUGCCUUGAACUCUGAAGAAAUAAAUUAUCAGUUCUUGGAUGCCACUACUGCUCUUCUGUGGCUGCCUGAGAAGUUGUUGUGCUCAUAAAGAUUUAUUCUUCACAGAAGUCAAUUAAUUAGUGGGUGGGUACUUGUUGAGUUCAAUGAGGUAAAGAAGUUUUGUCAAGGUCAACCAGUUUUCCACAGCACCAGAUUCGUAUUUAAGCUAAUAUGGUAGCAACUAUGUGCACUGAUUUGUUUCUUGAAGAUGUUCAUGUUUUAUGUACUUGCAGAUUUCUCUGUCUCUUCAACCAGCACAUAGAAGAUCCUUGCUUUUGAAAUCUGCAGUUUCUGAAAUUGUGUAAUACAUGCACUCAAAGCAAGACCUUAAACUUUGCUGGUCCAAGAAAAUUGUACUGGUGGGGGUCCAUAUCUAAUGGAUAUACUUUUUUUAAAAAAAAUUAUUCACGAUUGUCCUGGAUUUGCAAUUCCUUGUCCAUAGUGUUGUGUGUUAUGUUGACAUGUUCACCGCAGGUUUACGUUGCUACUUUGCUAGUGAAUCGGCCCCUACAGGUGGGUGCAGGAAAGAAACAGCGGACUCUGAACAUGUUUAUACAGGUAUGCUACUUACUAGUUACUACAAGAGAUGAGAUAAGCAUUGGCAAUUCCCAGAAGUGAACAAUUCAAAGUAUAACCAUUUCCAAGGUCCCCUGUAAGAAAACAAGAGACAGGAUCCUCGGAUCUGUCGUGGAAUAGUUUUAUUUUUCUACUUGAUCAUUGUCAUUGACGCCUUUGAUGGAGCAGGGUCUUAACUGAAGCAGAAGCAGGGGACUGUCAUCAUCUUUCUCAAAGACCCUUUCUUUGUCAUGUGUGCAGCAGGCAAUCUCGAGGUUUCCGUCAGCCAGCAAGGAGUGAGCUUGUCACCUCUUGGCAUAGAUCGGAUGGUGGCGGAGAACGAGUCCAAGGUGAUUCCAAGAUGAUACCUUCACUCGGCAGUUGUCAGCGGCACCAUUACCAUCUCCUCGUGAACUAUGGCGGCAACCCUGGAGGAGCUGGUGGGUCUCGUCGAGCAUUCCCCGCAGUCCCCGUCGGUGUUCCUCCACCUUCCCCCAACGCCCCACCAUGACAACGGCGUCCCCUCCUCAGAGCAGCAGCAGGAAGACGUGGCCCUGGAACACAUCUCGCGUCUGCUCAUGGAGGAGGAGGAAGAGGACAUGCAUGGCAUGUUCUUGAUCAACGACAACGACCCCGCACUCGUCCACGCUCAGCAGUCCUUGGCUCAAAUCAUUGCCUCUUCUUCUUCUUCUUCAUCUUCCACCAGAAAUGGCAAUGGCGCAUCCCAUCUCUACAAGGACGGCAACAGUGCCACAGUCUCCGACAUGUGCGCCACCGCCACAGGAGCAGAGGCCUGCAGCGUCAUGGACUUGCUGAAUAUGGCGUUCGUCAAGGGCAGGGAGGAAGGCUGCAAAUUCUUGCCCAAAGACAACAAGAAACUGGUGAUGAAGGAUACUACUAGUAGGAACUACGGCCCGGAGGCGGAGGCGGGCAGAGCAUGCAAGGUGAUGGCGACGGUGGCCAGGCCGGAAGAGGAGGCCCAGGUGCAGGAGCUGAUCGGCAGGAUGAUGCUGGACGACUGCGAGGUUCCGACGGAGGAGAUGGAGCGCCUGCGCGCGGCCAUGGCGGACGAGGCGGCCAUGAGCAACAGCAGGGAGGCGCGGCGGCGGCGGCAGCAGCAGGUGGACAUGCGCACGCUGCUGCUGAGCUGCGCGCAGGCGGUGGACGAGCGGCACGGCGCGCGGGAGCUGCUGGAGCAGGCGAAGCAGCACGCGUCGCCGACGGGGGACGCCACGCAGCGCCUGGCGCACUGCUUCGUGGAGGCCCUGGAGGCGCGCCUCGCCGGCACGGGGAGCGUGCUGCACAGGUCGCUCGCGGCGCUGGACACGACGACCUUGCUGCAGCAGAGCCCCGAGUUCCUGCAGGCGUACCGGCUGUUCGCCGCCACGUGCUGCUUCCAGAGGGUGGGCUUCGCGUUCGCCAACAUGACCAUCUGCCGCGCCGCGGCGGGGAGCAGCCGGCUGCACGUCGUGGACUACGGCCUCCACCUGGGCCUCCAGUGGCCGGACCUGCUGCGGCGGCUGGCGGCCAGGGACGGCGGCCCGCCGCCGGAGGUGACGAUCACCUGCGUCGACCUCCCGCUGCCGGGGUUCCGGCCGGCCAGACACAUGGAGGAGACGGGGCACAGGCUGAGCGACUACGCCCGCGAGCUGGGCGUGCCCUUCAAGUUCCACGCGGUCGCGGCGGCGAGGUGGGAGGCUGUCCGCAUCGACCCCGACCCGGACCCCGGCGUGGUGCUGGUGGUGAACAGCCUGUUCAAGCUGGAGACGCUGGCCGACGACAGCUUGGUGGUGGACAGGUCGAGCCCCCGGGACAUGGUCCUGGGCGGCAUCGCGAGGAUGAGGCCCGCCGUGUUCACGCACGGCGUCGUCAACGGGCUGUGCGGCAACUCGUUCCUGACGCGGUUCCGGGAGGCGCUCUUCUACUUCUCGGCGGCGUUCGACAUGCUGGACGCCACGCUGCCCCGGAGCAGCGAGCAGCGGAUGGUGCUGGAGCGAGACUUCCUGCGCGCCUGCGUCGUCAAUGUGGUGGCCUGCGAGGGCCACGACCGGACGGACCGAUUCGACACCUACAAGCAGUGGCAGCAGAGGAGCCGGCGCGCCGGGCUGAGGCAGCUGCCGCUGGACCCGGCGGUGGUGGGCGCGGUGACGGAGAUGGUGAAGCAGCAGUGCUACCACAGGGAGUUCGUCAUCGACGAGAACGACGACGGAUGGCUGCUGCAGGGGUGGAAGGGCCGCAUCCUCUACGCUCACUCCACCUGGGUUGCUCUUGCUGACGAAUCUGCACCGCCGCCGCGUGCCUGAGCUUGCUUUGCCUUGUCGCUGCCGCUAGCAGCCGAGACCUGAUGAGCACCGUCGCUGCAGAUCCCCUGUAUCGCCUGCAAGAAACAUCGACCCAUGAUUGAUUGCUACAGUAAUACACAUGUGCUAACGACUGAUUAAUUAAAUUAAAUUUAAUAAAUUCGUCUUGUGGUUUUCAAGCGAGUGUGUAAUUAAUUUUUUAAUUAGUAUUUGAAUACCUCUUCUGACAUCUCAUAAAAUAUUUAAUAUGACACCCAAAAUUUUUUUACCUACCAACCAAGCAAAAACUAAAAGCUUAAACAAAUACAAUAUGCUUCUGACAUACGAGAAGGUGCUCACAGUAUAGGUUAGGGGGUGUCGAAAGAUCAAAGAGAGAGCAGCGAGAGUAUAAGAAGAGUCGGUACAACAACACAGCAUAGGUCACAGGCAAGCCAUGACAAGACAACCACCAAUCACCGUAGAAUGCCACCGCCAAACAACAUACUCCGGACGCACAAUGAUUAUUGUGUAACCAUACCAUCCCUCAUAGCUACAUUGAUCCAAAGCUAUUUUUUGUGAUGGAGCACAGUGGAAAGGGGACUAAAGAUGGUGAGAAAUGACACUCCAACCAAGGCAUGCCAGAGAUAACCUCCCUUUAAGCUGAAGACAACACAUCCUCACCAAGCAAGCUCAAGAGAUGAACGAAUGAUGGGGGGAAGCAAGAAGUACCCCACAUAGGCAAUAUGAGGUGAGGUUUUUACGGAUCCAACAUCCAAUAUGUUGUGCUGAUGUAAGCGUCCAAGUGUGAUUAACAAGUGUGAUUUCUCUUUAUAAUCUUUGGCUAAAACUUGUAACUAGUCUUUCUCUCUCAUACUAACUCUAAAUUUGAUGAUCUUUUUUUAAUUUUUUUUCCUAAAAUCAUGUCGUAUCAGGUUGUUAUGUUCCUACUGCUAUUACUUUCGCAAUCUUUUCAUGAUUGGGGUUAUUUUGAAUUAUUCUUCAUAAUGACAAGUGUCAGUAAUUUAUAUACAAAUUUGAGGGGUUAUUUUUCAAUUGUCUUUCGUAAUGAUAGAGGAGGAUAAUUUAUAUAUAAAAUUAGAGGGUUACUUUAAGUAUUUUUAUAAUGACAAAGGUGGGUAAUUUUUUUUAUGAAUUACAGUAGAUCCAAUGGCUAUAUUGAAGAUGAUAAUUAGAGUCUACCAAAUUAAAGGUCAUAUGUUUCUGAUUAUUGUGAGAAUUUCUAGGAUUUAUUUUUUUUCCUAGCACAUAUGAUGAGAGUUACCAUGAUGCCUCCAUUGUGGCCUCUAAUUAAUAAUAGUAAGAUACACAUAUGCCAGAAAAAUCCGGUCCUACUACUAUCCCAACCUCCUAAGGAUAAUAGUGUUUAAAAAAGUGAAAUCAAGAGCUCUUGUGAACAGCUCGAAGCCAUCCAUCUUUCACAUACUUCAUUUUUUUCACAUGUCCAAAGAAAAUUAGAUAUAUAAUCCACACCUCAAGCUGAAAUAUAUUUUGCAGGUAAUGGUCUGAAUAAGAUCAUGCUUGUUGCUUGGAAACUCUGCUCGUUCUCUGCAUUUGUGAUCAUUGAUAUACUGUAUUACUUUAUGUCAGCAGCCUCUGUAAAUAAAGCUUACUUAAAUCUGUUGGGCGUCGCACAAAAGUAUCUUCUUCCUUUAAUUUGGCAUAUUUCAAUAGUUAAUGGAAAUGUUUUUUUUACGAGACCUAGUUACAGACGUAGAUGCUCAUAAACACGAGCGCACACUCAACUCUGUAAAUACAGGAAACCCUGCUUUUAUAAAGCAUUGUGAUAGGUACCCAAAUAAGUAGCUAGGGAUACCAGCGCACAAGAAGGCACAAAGCCAAACAAAACAAACGCUGCUAUGCAGCAAUCAACAGAACUGAAGCCAGCUAACAGAAACCUGAACACCUAGAACUCCAGUAAGCCUCCAACUAGAGCACCAGACAGGCAGACAGAGACAGAUAUGGGGUUUCUUUCAAUGGUCUUAUUUACAAAUAUUAUCUUUGUGUGCUGUGUGGAGUUGUAGCGAUACAUAGCUUUUUCAACCAUUACAUCCGAGGAACAUUGGAAAUACUGCCGAGUAUUUGUCUCCAUUAUCAAAGGAGCAUUGGAGUUAUAGGUAGACAACUAGACAUGGUGUCCUGACUCGUUUUGGCACUAGCUAGCUGCUUGGACACACAUUUUAUAAUUUAUUAAUUAAUUAAGGAGACAGUUCCAUACAUGUUGCCAUGGUUUGUCGUGUUCGUUACGAUAUAUAUUAAGCAAUGCAAGACCUAGUGCACCACACCGUGCCAUAAAUUAGCGGUCAUUCAUGACAUGGCAACAACCUCACCACUGAACUAGAGGAAUUCUUCGUGAAGGAUUCCAUGGCGCAGUCACCACUGUCCCCAUCCCAUGAAGUUUUUCCCCGAAACCCAAAGCAAGAAGCAGGUGGACGAAGUGAGGGCUGCCAUCAUCAUGUCCCUAGUGAUAUGAUGAUGCUCCCUUACAUCUCACGCAUGCUGAUGGAGGACGAGGACGACACCGACGAUAAGCUGCUCUCUGAUCACCCUGCGCUUCUCCAGGUGGAGCAGCCCUUUGCUCAAAUCCUCUCCUCCCCUUCCCCUGGUGACACAAAUGAUGGUGGUGGUGGUGAUGAAAGGUCGACACCCAGCUACUCAUCCUUGUCCAGGUGUCCAUAUGCAGUAGUGGGGGAGUUCUUGAAGGGCAUGGAUCAGGCAACAAACAUGCUGUUGCCCGGAGCCGGAGGCUUCAUAUGUGAUGAUGAGCUGCAGGUGAAUCAAACGGCGGCCAGGGAAAGUAGGUCAAAGAAGAGGAAUAAUAGAGAUGAUCAUAAUUUACAAGACGAGGUAAUAACAAGGAGCAGCAAAGCCGUGAUGACGAUCAAGCAGCAGCACGAGGAUAUUUGUGUCCAUGAGACGAUGUUAGAGGAUAUGAUGUCAAGUGGCCUCGAGACAUACAUUAGAGAAUUCGAGAAGCUGCGCGUCGACAUGGCGAACGAGGCUCAUCAGAAGAACAUCCGCAAGGGCGGUAAAAAGGCGGUGGUGAGUAACAAUGUGGUGGACGUAAGCUCCUUGUUGAUCUCUUGCGCACAGGCAGUGGCGGCAAAUGAUCACGUGAGAGCACGCGACCUACUGAAGCAGAUCAAGCAACAUGCAUCAGAAACAGGGGAUGCCACACAGCGGCUAGCUCACUGCUUUGCUAGGGGUUUGGAAGCACGGCUGUUGGGCAUGGGGAGCCAGCUUUGGCAAUUGGUAUUGGCAGAGCGCCUCUCAAUCGAGGAAUUUCUCAAGGCGCAGAACCUCUACAUGGCAGCCUGCAGCUUCAACAAGGUGGUGAUCUGUUUUUCCACAAUGACCAUCUUGCAGGCCAUUCAGGGCAAGACAAGGCUGCACAUUGUAGACUACGGUAUGCGCUUCGGGUUCCAUUGGGCACACUUGCUUCGCUUGCUAGCGAGUAGGGAAGGUGGUCCACCAAAGGUGAGGAUCACCGCCAUACUCCGGUCACGUCUCCGGCCAUGUCCAGCUGAGCUGAUUGAGGACACAGGGCGCCGGCUCAUCAAAUGUGCACAUGACUCUGGCGUGCCAUUCAGUUUCCAUGUCAUAAGGAAAAAAUGGGAGGAAGUCUGCAACGAGGACUUGGACAAACACCCCGACGAGGUGCUCGUAGUGAAUGACCACUUCAAUUUCAGCACCUUGAUGGACGAGAGCAUAUUCUUCGAUAAUCCUAGCCCCAGGGAUACCGUCCUCCAUAACAUCAACAAGAUGAUGCCAGAUGUGUUCAUCCAAAGCAUUCUGAAUAGUUCCUAUGGUUGCUCCUACUUGUCGCGGUUUAAGGAGGCCUUGUUCUACUACACGGCAAUGUUUGACAUGUUUGACGCAACCAUGCCGCGGGGAAGUAAGCCACGAAUGGUGCUUGAGCAGGGCCUGUUUGGAAGAGCUGCAGUAAAUGUCAUCGCUUGCGAGGGCAUCGACCUGUUGGAACGCCCUGAGAAGUACAGACAGUGGCAGGCGAGAAACCAACGGGCAGGGCUCAGGCAGCUGCCAUUGCAACCCAAAAUUGUUCAUACGCUCAAGGAAGAGAUCAGGAUGUGCCAUCACAAGGACCUUUUGAUCUGUCAAGACGGUCAUUGGCUACUGCAAGGCUGGAUGGGGCGCAUCCUCUUUGGCCUGUCCACAUGGGUAGCACAGGGGUCCUCUUCCGAGUGAACCUUUUGUUUUUAGUUAAUUUCGCCACCAAUCGAAUGGUGUACGUACCAGAGUUAUGUGUCCUUAUAUAUACUAGCUAUAUAUGGACCACACCGGUGAUCUUGUGUUUUCCAAGUGUCACAAUAGCCAUGGUCGGUAUCUUUGACCAUGGCAUCCAUCAGUUUGCGCAAUAUGUACCUCUGGAGGAAGAUGCAUUUGUUUAUUUUUGGAGCCUUUUGUUAUUUUUUGUGGUUGUUUUAUUGUACAGUGCUUGUUCCCUUUUAUAUCAAUACAAGUUCAACAGAGCUUCUGCUGACCGUUUCAAAAAGAGAGAGGAAGAUGCAUUUGUUUUAGAGAGAAAACUAGUUACCUAGGAACCUUCACAAGAUAAUCCAAAAUUUAAAUUUUGAAGAGGGCCAUGAAACUGAACAAUAUGUAAGGCUUGAAGGGUGGUUUUAUUGACGGGACCUUUGAAAAAGAAUAUUUUAAUUUGUCACCAAUGGAAAUUACACGGCCUCUGGUUAUAAGCGAGGAAAAAAAAGGAGGAAAUAGAGACGACACGAUGUACAGCUAUAUAAACUUGUUGGUACCCAUGGAUACAAUUAGGAUGAGGCAUAGGGAGAGGUCAAAUACAAUCAAACAAAAGAAACAAAAAUAUUUGCAAAAGAUAAUUUCAAGUAAAAAAAUGAAAAAAAUAGCUAAUUUGCACAGGUCACCUUGCUACACUACGGCACAGUGCAUCUCCACCGAGAGCAUAAAGAUGUACCGAGAGCAGGAAAACGGGCCCUCGGUACAUCACUCUUGUACCGACGGUUAAGCUCGGUGAAAUAAGACCCUCGGUGCACUUCACGAGUAGCGUUCGGUGAACACAUACGCUCGGUACCAUUCCCUUCUACCGAGCGUCUAACCCUCGGUAAGAUAAAACCCUCGCUAAAACUGUGUUUUAGCGAGCAAAGCUCCUCGGUAGAAAAAACAUCUCGGUAAAAUUGACGCACCACUCUCUCAGUCGAGUAAACUCCCACAACGUCGUCAACUCCACCGAGAGCACCGUCCGUCGCUCGGUAGAAUAUGGUCAUUCCACCGAGCGCUAAUGGGUUGCCUCCGGUGAAAUAUUUACACCGAGGGGUAUGCGGAGCCCUCGGUAGAGUUUGGUCUUUCAAAAUUCAAAAACACUUGAAUCCAAAAUUUUGCAGACGUGAUUUACGAAAUUAAAAAUUCAAAAACAUUUCAAUCCAAAGUAUGAUUUCAAAUUGUACCGAGAGCCUGGCUAACCCUCGGUACAAAAUGGCUAGUUACCGAGGGUUGCAUACAGCGGCGCUCGGUACAAAAUUUUUAC
rnacentral:lncRNA from 1 species